ensembl:lncRNA novel transcript, sense intronic to SLC8A1
GUGUGUGUGUGUGUGAUGUGGUGUGUGCGCGCCUGCACAUUUUUCUGGGUGUCCGCGCUUCCCAGAGUGAAAUUGCUCGGGCUGGUGCGUCUGGGCGUGAGGGUGCCUGCCUGCCUGCCAGUGCAGGCUGCCGGAGGAAGAAAGGGCUGCUAAGGAGAGAUGCUGCACCCUGCACCGCGCUGGGCUCUGAGGAUUCAGGGCGCGAAGAGCUAAGUCCACCCCGAAUGCAGAGCUGCUGGGGAUCCAGGCGUCCCCACCCACUGGACUCUUCUCCGCGGACAUCCCUCCUUCCGGUAAUCCCUGGGGUCUUUCCCCAAGGCCACAUUUCCGAGCCCCCUGUUUUCCAGCGGGCGUUGGGUGCUCAUUCACCACGGACUGCGGAGAGGAGGGAGGUGUGGCGGGGCAGAGACAGACGAGGAAGAAAUGUAGGGGGUAGCAGGGAGUGGGCUGCGGGGUCCACGUCUCUGGGCACUGUGCCGUGGUGUGCUUUGGGGAUUCUGCACACACAGGCAUCUUUCCCCAAGAGAUUGGAAGGGAACUUUGCAGCUGCAUUCUCUGCCUCUGGAGCUUUGCUGGCUCUUGGGGGAAAUGGUCUGUGUUCUGAGAUGUGAAGAUAUCCUUUUUGGCUCCUCCUUAAUGAAGAAGAGGGCGGUCUUAUAGCUGGACAGCCGGCCAAAGAAACCAAAUCCGCCCAGGCGAUGCUCUUGAAAAUACAGUACGUGUGCAUCCUUGAUUCUUUAAAUCCACCCCCUGCAUCACCCCCGCCUCUUCUCUAUCCCCCCCACCACCCCGUGGAUUCUGUUGCUGUUUGAUGAAUGGCUUGGGCUGGCAAUUUGUAUUUCCCUCUCCAAAGUGGUAGUGGUUGAGUUGAGAACAGGGGUGAUGAAAUUUAACAAAGCAUUUUUAGAAGAGAGCAAUGUGCAUGUUGUACGCAGUCAUUGGAAAGUCAUGCUUUGCGCUAGGUAUCCUUUUGAAGCCCCCGAACCUGGCUCUCCUGAAGCCGCUCUCUCUCUCUCCUGCUAGUCAGCUACUAGUGGUUGUGAAUAUAACAAUACAAACUUUGUCCUGCUGGAGGUGUAAAGACUAAAAA